rnacentral:rRNA from 1 species
GAUGAACGCUGGCGGCGUGCCUAACACAUGCAAGUUGAACGAAGCAAUCAAGACAGAAUCCUUCGGGAGGAAGAUUUGAUUGACUGAGUGGCGGACGGGUGAGUAACGCGUGGGUAACCUGCCUUGUACAGGGGGAUAACAGUUAGAAAUGACUGCUAAUACCGCAUAAGCGCACAGUACUGCAUGGUACAGUGUGAAAAACUCCGGUGGUACGAGAUGGACCCGCGUCUGAUUAGCCAGUUGGCGGGGUAACGGCCCACCAAAGCGACGAUCAGUAGCCGGCCUGAGAGGGUGUACGGCCACAUUGGGACUGAGACACGGCCCAAACUCC